ensembl:lincRNA
UGAAUUUUUGCUUUAUUCCUGCCCAGUGUCUUUCAGGAUGUGCCACACUGAAAAAAAAAAAAAUGGUAUUACCCACAAAGGAGUAAAAGACACAGUGCAAGAGAAAAGACACAUGAUUUCUGUCUUACAAUUAAAAGUGGAAAACUUACCAAUUUUGGAAUGAACAAGAUGAAGAGAAUUGUCACAAUAAUGUGAAGGAAUCAGUUAUUUAAGUUGUAGAAUUAUGAGAGGUCCAGAGCUCAGGAGGAGAGUUACUUUACUAUGUCACUGGCAGUUCGACUCCAGAGACACUUAAUGAUUCUGAGUUCUUUGCACUGCUUUCAAGUGACCCAUAAAGCAGUUUCUCAAUUUUUCUUAAAACUGGCAAGAUCAGAAAGCUUGGACAAAAAGUGAACUGUCUAAUUUGAUUGAAGCCAGACAGAAGUGGUGAUGACACAGUUGGAAAGAAUGCAUUCACUCAGCUGGAAAAAGUUUUAAACCCUGGGUACUCCCAGCCUUUCUUACUUGAAGGCCUGCAAGUGAUCUUCACAGUGCAUCAGCCAGAUUCCAUUUCGUAACUGCCCUGAGGUUCAUUUUCCAUAAAUAAUAAUGCAGCCACUUCUAUUCACUUAGAAUUUUAUUUGCAACAGUACAGCAGAGACCGCUGGUGCUCACUGACAGCUGUGUCCUCCCCCUUCCCAGGCACACAGAGGUUCUGCUCAAUUGGGUAUGGCCAUGGAUGGAGUUCUGCCCAAUGGCUUGUAAGCCAAAGUGAUACGUGGCACUUUCAGGUCUGGUCCAUGAAUACCUUCCCUGCAUGACCUCUUUUUCCUCAUCAGCUGAUGGAAGGAUGAGGACUCUGAAAACCAGGAAGAGGUUGCAACCACAAGAUGGAAGACCUUCUGGAUUAGGCAAAGAGAGGACUUCUACAACUCUUCAUCUGUAUGCAAUCAGGAAAGCAAAGAUCCGAGCAAGCAUGGUCUCUUCAGCUUCUGCCUUUUCAAUUAAGACAGAAUGAGAGGAGAGCCCUGGAAGAGGGCCUGACUGUCCCAGGGAGCCCAAGACAAAGCCAACACUAUGAUUCGCAUAUUGUCUCAUGUCCAUUUUGAACCUGCAGGAAUGGAGACAAAAAUGGUGAUAACUCCAAAUCUCCAUCAGGCAGUGGGAGAAAAAUACUCCAUUUUUGUGAAACAAUGUGAUCCUAAAUUUAUCAAUGGUUCAAAGUGAUAUGACCAUCAAAAUAAUUGAUUCCAUGCUGUCUGGAGCCACACAAUGGAACACAGAUCUGAGACUCAUCAAUGUUUCCCAUUGAUCAACCAGGGAGCCAAGACACAUUAUGAAAAGACAAUGUUCUACUCGACAGCACAUGCUGAAAAACUAUGGAAGUCUCUUAGAACGUGAGAGGCAGAGUUCUGUGUUUAGUAACUUGUCAUGUUCCCCAUGUUCUCUUGACUUCCCAUCACAAGUGCUUCUCAGCUCUACACCUAGUCCUAGGUAGGAUUGCUGAGUGAAUAGUGAAUGAGUAUAAACAGAAGCCAUUUGAAGAAGACUCUGAAAUAGACGCAAAAAAAAAAAAAAAAAGAUGUAAACACACAAAAAAGAUACCACACUUGGGCUGCCCCAUUGCCUCUUACAUUGGGGUAAAAAAUUUGACCCUUUCUGGUAUGAUGAUGUUCAGUAUCCAC